rnacentral:rRNA from 1 species
AGUGAACGCUGGCGGUAGGCCUAACACAUGCAAGUCGAACGGCAGCACAGUAAGAGCUUGCUCUUACGGGUGGCGAGUGGCGGACGGGUGAGGAAUACAUCGGAAUCUACUUUUUCGUGGGGGAUAACGUAGGGAAGCUUACGCUAAUACCGCAUACGACCUACGGGUGAAAGCAGGGGAUCUUCGGACCUUGCGCGAUUGAAUGAGCCGAUGUCGGAUUAGCUAGUUGGCGGGGUAAAGGCCCACCAAGGCGACGAUCCGUAGCUGGUCUGAGAGGAUGAUCCGCCCCCCGGGAACUGAGACGCGGCCCAGACUCCUACGGGAGGCAGCGGUGGGGAAUAUUGGACAGUGGGCGGAAGCCUGAUCCAGCCAUGCCGCGGGGGUGAAGAAGGCCUUCGGGUUGUAAAGCCCUUUUGUUGGGAAAAAAAAGCAGCAGGUUAAUACCCCGCUGUUCUGACGGUACCCAAAAAAUAAGCCCCGGCUACUUUCGU